ACCCUGGUACAUCAAAAAUGAAUCUACACAAAGCCAAGAUUAGCCCAGUAGUUGCAUUUAUCUCAAAAAUGUAUCAAAACGUUUCGACGAUCAACUAUCAUUCAAGCAGCAGGAUUCAGCAACUUUUUGAUACAUAUACAUUGACAAAAUGCAUGGUAAAGCAACAGCAUUAACGACUUUAUAAAUGUCAAGUGAAAUUUUACAAACAUAGUUUUACAACAAUUUUUUUAUAAUCAAUAAAAUGAAAC